UCUCAUUCUUUUCCCUUCCCCGGAACUUUCUCGCAGCGCCCUGCACAACUUCAGCAUGUACUUGACAUUCAAAUGCACGGACGAUCAUGCAUCGCAUUCCUCGGUGGUUCCCAAGUCGCCUGAAUAAAGCAUUUCCCAGGGUAGGCGAACCCGGGGCUUAGGACCGUGGGAGCAGCCCUGGGACCUCUCUGCCUGGGUCAGGAAGGCUGCUUUUUCCGGAAGGGCGGCAGAGACCCUGGGAACUGGACCAGCCCAGCUCACAAGUAUGAAGAGAAUGCAAAGGGAGGAAGUGGCGGCUGAGAGUCAGCAUGAGUCAUCGUCCCAAUGAGAAUGAGGGCCGAGGUGUGCGCCUUUUUUUUUUUUGGUCUUGAUUGCGUGGACAUCACUGGGAAUGGAGGGAGCCGGUGGUGACUGUACCGCUCGCUCGGUCAGUUUUAAAGCGGCGCUCCGUGCGGGCAGGCCGGGCCUGAGCAUGACUUUGGUCCCCGGGAAGGAACAGCCCUCAGCUUCUCCCUGACAAGAAAGUGGAGAGCCGGAGGGGAAGGGGCCCCACAGACCUGCAACCUGCAUAUCUUUCUGGAGCUCUCCAGGAGACUGGCUGGUCAGACAGCAGGCGUCAUCAUCUCACGGACAGGUGAGAGCCAGGGCAGGUGUCUAGGGUCUGCCCAGAACUGGACUUGGGACCAAGCAGAAGACAAAAUGGAUCAGAUGAUUGCUUCAUUUAUAAAUCUUUGAUAUGUCCUUUUCCCUCCAAAUGGUACUGAAUCUUCUGAAGAUUUAAAAAAAAGGCAUGGGAUGGGCGGCUUUGCCAAGGGGGCUGGCCUGCUGGCCACCCGUGAGUCUUGGAGCUUCUCUGUGCAGCGAGGCGCCAUGAAUCAGUGAAGCUCAGGCCCAGGUUGCAUCAUAUCCGAGACCACCAGGAGCCGGCCGGGUCGGCCAGCUGGAAUCUCACAGCCCACUCUGCAGACCCAGGCUGGGCUCAGGGGCUUCGAGGAGGACAGCUCCAUUUGCGAACCAGCUAUUGGUUUAAAAAAAAAAAAAAAAAGUAAAGAAAAGAAAG
rnacentral:lncRNA from 1 species